rnacentral:misc_RNA from 1 species
AAGUCGUAACAAGGUAACCGUAGGUGAACCUGCGGUUGGAUCAUUACAAAAUGAUAGUUUUUGGGGUAGAGUUUCUUUCGAGUUACUCCCCUAAUAACUUAUUCACCCUUGUGCAUCGUAAUGUUUUUUGGGUCGGUUUUACGACUGGCCCAGCAGUUUUUUAAACACUUUAUAAUUUGACUGAAUUUUUUUGAAAAUAAAAAAUAACAACUUUUGACAACGGAUCUCUUGGCUCUC